UCUGGUGACAAUGGCAAGGAGGUCACACCUGUUCCCAUGCCGAACACAGAAGUUAAGCUCCUUAGCGCCGAUGGUAGU
rnacentral:rRNA from 5 species